rfam:Schistosoma rodhaini strain Burundi genome assembly, scaffold: SROB_scaffold0003537
AUCCAGCUGAUGAGUCCCAAAUAUGAUGAAAUGCGUGUACUGGAU